CCCUUAGAUGUCCUGGGCUGCACGCGCGCUACACUGAUGUGUCCAGUAAGCACCUAACCUAUUCCGUGAGGAGCGGGUAACCUUAGCAAAGCACAUCGUGAUGGGGAUAGAUUAUUGCAAUUAUUAGUCUUGAACGAGGAAUUCCUAGUAAGCACAAGUCAUCAGCUUGUGUUGAUUACGUCCCUGCCCUUUGUACACACCGCCCGUCGCUCCUACCGAUUGAAUGUUCCGGUGAGCUCUUCGGACUGCGCGGUCUGCAGUUUCUGCGUUCCGUGCGGAAAGUUGUGCAAACCUUAACAUUUAGAGGAAGGAGAAGUCGUAACA
rnacentral:rRNA from 1 species